UACAGAGGUCCCGAGCGUUGUUCGGAUUCAUUGGGCGUAAAGGGUGCGUAGGCGGUUUCCUAAGUUUGAUGUGAAAUCCCGGGGGCUUAACCCCUGGAAUUGCAUUGAAUACUGGGGAGACUAGAGUACUGGAGAGGAAACUGGAAUUUACGGUGUAGCAGUGAAAUGCGUAGAGAUCGUAAGGAAGACCAGUGGCGAAGGACGAGUUUCUGGACAGUUACUGACGCUGAGGCGCGAAAGCGUGGGGAGCAAACA
rnacentral:rRNA from 1 species